CUCUUUCUCUCUCUCUCUCUCUCUCUCCCUCUCUCUUUCUCUUUCUCUCGAUCUCUCAUGUGAGGCUGCUGUGUCAUGCUGGGGCCGUGCAGAGUUUGAAUGUGUGACUGAGCAAGUGACAGAAAAGGUCGCAGAGCGACACUCCUGAUUUUAUCUUGUGUUUGCAGGUCUGUCACUUCAUCUGCCCGAGGACAGGACAUCUGCAACAUUAGGAAGAAUUGCUCUGCUGGACUCCUGAACUCUUGGUGGACGUCUCCAGGCUCUUCUUCACAUGCGAGUGUGAGGCUCAGCAGCUCAGAGGAGCAGAUCUGCGGAGGAAGAGGAUGCCCAGAGAAGACCCUGACAGGAUGAAGAGCGGGUCGGUCCCGGCAGCAAAGCGGAGCUUGUUCACCGGAGGCUGCACGUACGCGGAUUAGUGGAGUCGCUCCAGAAAAAGAACCUGGUUGGCCAGAUGCUCACUUCCUGUUUUUCAGGUACAAUAUUCCCCUCUCUUUCUAUCCGUUCUUCCUUUCCGCAAAUUAGUACAAAUUACAUUAGAUCGGCCGAGAGGAUGAAUUCCCCCAGU
rnacentral:lncRNA from 1 species